GGAAGGUUGUCCGAGCGGCCGAAGGAGCCUGGUCUUGAAAACCAGUGUGCGGUAACCCCGUACCAAGAGUUCGAAUCUCUUACCUUCCG
rnacentral:tRNA from 1 species